ACUGCGAUAAGUAAUGUGAAUUGCAGAAUUCAGUGAAUCAUCGAGUCUUUGAACGCACAUUGCGCCCCCUGGCAUUCCGGGGGGCAUGCCUGUCCGAGCGUCAUUGCUGCCCUCAAGCCCGGCUUGUGUGUUGGGUCGUCGUCCCCCCCGGGGGACGGGCCCGAAAGGCAGCGGCGGCACCGUGUCCGGUCCUCGAGCGUAUGGGGCUUUGUCACCCGCUCGAUUAGGGCCGGCCGGGCGCCAGCCGGCGUCUCCAACCUUAUUUUUCUCAGGUUGACCUCGGAUCAGGUAGGGAUACCCGCUGAACUUAAGC
rnacentral:misc_RNA from 1 species